UACAGAGGGUGCAAGCGUUAAUCGGAAUUACUGGGCGUAAAGCGUGCGUAGACGGUUACAUAAGUCGGGUGUGAAAGCCCCGGGCUCAACCUGGGAAUUGCAUUCGAGACUGCGUAGCUAGGGUGCGGAAGAGGGAAGCGGAAUUUCCGGUGUAGCGGUGAAAUGCGCAGAUAUCGGGAGGAACACCGGCGGCGAAGGCGGUUCUCUGGGCCUGUACUGACGCUGAGGAGCGAAAGCGUGGGGAGCGAACAGG
rnacentral:rRNA from 1 species